rnacentral:rRNA from 1 species
AGUCAAUAGAUACCCAGGUAGUCCCAGCUGUAACGAUGCGCGUUAGGUGUAUCGGUGACCACGAGUCACCGAGGUGCCGAAGGGAAACCGUGAAACGUGCCGCCUGGGAAGUACGGUCGCAAGGCUGAAACUUAAAGGAAUUGGCGGGGGAGCACCACAACAGGUGGAGCCUGCGGUUUAAUCGGACUCAACGCCGGGAAGCUCACCGGAUAAGACAGCUGAAUGAUAGCCGGGUUGAAGACUCUGCUUGACUAGCUGAGAGGAGGUGCAUGGCCGUCGUCAGUUCGUACUGUGAAGCAUCCUGUUAAGUCAGGCAACGAGCGAGACCCACGCCAACAGUUGCCAGCAUGUCCUCCGGGAUGGUGGGGACACUGUUGGGACCGCCUCUGCUAAAGAGGAGGAAGGAAUGGGCAACGGUAGGUCAGCAUGCCCCGAAUUAUCCGGGCUACACGCGGGCUACAAUGGUCAGGACAA